rnacentral:lncRNA from 1 species
AAAAAAGGUUUUCAGCUUUAGAGAGAGUUUUGGAGGGGAAGUUUCAGAUCUGAUUUUCUUUUGAAAAAUAUAAAAUGUUUUGAGAGAUCAAAAUCCCAAGAGAGAGAAAUACUUUGAAUCAGGUGAAAGUGAGUGAAAAACUAUUGUUCAUUAGAUUUCUAUUGGUUUGCCCUUUUCUAGCUCCUGAAAAUUUAUUUGACUUCAUCUAAGUGAAAAUGGUUUGAAUUGAUUUCGUCAAGAGUUUUGGUUAAUAGUAGAAUGAGUUGUUUGAUUAUUCAUUCUUGGGUUGGAGCUUGUGGCUAGCUGACUGAUGCUGAUUUUUGCGCACUAACUCAUUCUUGUUCGUUGUUUCUGUCCGAUUUCUAGGUAUCCCCUGAUUAUCUAUGAGACGACCUCCAAACAUGAAGGAUGUAAUUUUUUGAAGUUCCUGCAUAAUGAAUGAUUGUCCCCUGUUAACAUGUGACAUCGUUUC